rnacentral:tRNA from 1 species
GGCCCUAUGGUCAAGUGGUUAAGACACCGCCCUUUCACGGCGGUAACCCGGGUUCGAAUC